UCUCUCUCUCCACCCUGUGAGGACACAGCAAGGAAGCAAUUUUCUGCAAGCCAGGAAGACAGUCCUCACCAGGAUCUGGGCUGGCCAGCACCUUGAUCUUGGACUUCCCAGCCUACAGAACCGUGAGAAACAAAUGUGUGUUGUUUGAACCACCAGGUCUCUGGCAUUCUGUUAUAGCAGCCUGAGCUGACUAACGCACGGAGAAGCCAGUCAAGCCCCUCCUCUGUCUUAAACUCACGAGCUGGAGGGAUGGGAGACUCAAUUUUAAACCAAACCUAGAGUUUCAAGCAUUAUAUAAAGCUGGAUAUUUUUCUGACAGGAGUGAGAUGAUAACUUGUUACUUUCAUUCCCAGAGAGUGAACAGAAACUGCAUGGGAUUGUUUCACAUUCCUUCCAGGGACUGGAGAAGAACUGGCCCAGAGCGGAUUUAAGAAGAUGGUCGGGACAGAAGAAAGCUGCUUGAGGAGUCCAUCCCAAGAACUGUUCUCGUUCAACACACCCACGAUAGAUCAGCCUCCAAAAUCAGUACAUCACAGGAGAGAUAAGCCACAUAUCCUUAAGGAGAUGGAAUGACUCCAGGCCCCUUACAAAUGACUGUGUCUGGCUGAGCGGGCCAGUCAGAACUGGACCUGCUCGCCAUGGAAACAAAGACAAAGCAGAGUGGGGGGCAGGCUGAGGGUGGUGACACCUAUGCAAGUUCCACCCAGGGGGUGGUACUCUCCGUCCAACAGCCUGAAGUGUUUCCAUUUCCAUGGCACACUGUCCCUCUGGUGGUGAGAGGGCAUUCACCUCGCGGUAGAGAGAUGCUCCUUAGGAUUGAUUCAUUGCCAAUGUCGUGAUAACAUCCUCACCUUUGGUUCCUGUGAGCUUGGUUCAGAUGAGUCUGCCCCUGAGGGAGGAGUCCGUUCUGUGUCCGCCAAACAUCAACCAAUCAUCAAGCAAUGGAUGGAUAAGAUUUCUAGUGGGAAGACUGAUACCCAACUCCUAGCAAAUUAUCAAGUGAAAAAUAUUUAGUUAUGAAAAUCUGGAUGAUCGUAACCUCAGAGGAGUUCAGAAAGCAUUAGUUAUCCCCUAGGUGGAUGCCCACCUGCAGAGCUUCAAGACUAGAAGGAGGAUGCCAGAGCCAGCAUUUCUCCAAGCGGGCAGACCCUGCCGGGGCGGAGCAGAGGGAGCAUUCAACAGACAGCGGCCGCAAACCUGGCGGUUUCCACCUCCAGUCCCGGGGAGCUGUUAGAACCCAAACUAUCAAAAUGGCAACAUUUAAUUGAACAGCUGUUUGCAAAUCACAUGCUUAUUAGCUGCACGCUGAAAAAAAUAAAAAGGCCUACUUGUAUUUCAGUCUACUGACCAUCAAGAGCCCCCGUUAUGGUUAGAAUUCUCUUGAUUGUAAGCAAGAGCACGGUCACCUGCUAACACAGGAGAAAGACCCACACGCUGGCAUGGGGAGGGUGAGGCCCCAGGCAGCUUUGGGCACUAGCUACAUUCUCUCCUCUCUUCUGGGCGACUUUCUUCUUCCCUCUCUCUGCUCAGCUGGUCCAAAAUGGCUUCCUCUGGACAUCCUACCUUCUCUCCCUCACCCCGUCACGUUUACAUGGGCUGCGUCUUCACCCUGGACUGUUUUCUCUCCCCUUCUUAGCCUGGCUGCAUCCUGCCUGUGGCUUCAGUCUUCUCAGGUGCAGCCUUUUCUAGGUAGCUGCCCUCGAUCCCCAAGGCUGGGGUCCCCGAGCCCACCUGUAAGCUCCCGUGUUCGCUGGUGCUAACUAUGCCAUCUUAGGUCUUUCCACUCUGCAGUGUAAUUGCCG
rnacentral:lncRNA from 1 species